AUGGCGUUGUGGACUGGGCUAGGUCAGGCGGCGACGGUGGCACAGCUGGUUGGCGCAGACAUUGGCGGGCUCAUCUCUAUGUUCAUGCAGGCUGCACUGACGGCUCGGCAGAACAAGAAGGAGUGCGAGCAGCUCGCCCGUCGUGUCUUGGCGGGUCUGGAAGACACGCUUCGGGACGCCAACGAGCUCAUCGUUUCCUGCCAGGGGAGGAGCACGGCGUACCAAGUAUUCAUGGCUGGGAGGCAGGCCGAAAGGUUCAAGGAGGUGCAGAGCAACGUCGACUUCUACCUCAUGCUCUUCCCCGUGAUCAGCCACAUCGACGUAACAUGCCGCCUCCACCAAACCUACGAGGUCCUUGUACCAGACGACUCCACAAAAGGUGAACCGUCUCCACUUCCACACUCGUCCCAGCUGCAGGUAUGA
rnacentral:rRNA from 1 species